GAUGAACGCUGGCGGCGUGCCUAAUACAUGCAAGUCGAGCGAACAGAUCAUGAGCUUGCUCCUCUGACGUUAGCGGCGGACGUGUGAGUAACACGUGUAUAACCUACCUAUAAGACUGGUAUAACUUCGGGAAACCGGAGCUAAUACCGGAUAAUAUAUUGAACCGCAUGGUUGAAUAGUGAAAGACGGCUUUGCUGUCACUUAUAGAUGGAUCCGCGCCGCAUUAGCUAGUUGGUACGUUAACGGUUUACCAAGGCAACGAUGCGUAGCCGACCUAAGAGGGUGAUCGGCCACACUGGAACUGAGACACGGUCCAGACUCCUACGGGAGGCAGCAGUAGGGAAUCGUCCGCAAUGGGCGAAAGCCUGACGGAGCAACGCCGCGUGAGUGAUGAAGGUCUUCGGAUCGUAAAACUCUGUUAUUAGGGAAGAACAAAUGUGUAAGUAACUAUGCACGUCUUGACGGUACCUAAUCAGAAAGCCACGGCUAACUACGUG
rnacentral:rRNA from 1 species